UGUUAAAUUUUUUAUCCAUUUAUAUUGUAAAAAAUUAGUGUGAUUGACAAAAUAAUCACACAAUGACAUGUGGCAUGCAUGUGUACCUCAUGUUAAAAUACAAAGAUUAAUUUUUAAUAGCAACAAUGGAUGAAAUGUUUAACA
rfam:Gossypium hirsutum cultivar TM-1 chromosome 21, whole genome shotgun sequence